rnacentral:lncRNA from 1 species
GGGGGGGGGGCAAUGUAGUGAGUGGAGAGUGAUGGUGAGCAAAGCUGAUCAGUUUGUGAGUGAAGCAAACUGAUCGGUUUGUGAUUGCAGCAAGUGAAGUGAGAGAAGGGGGAGGAGUGUACUGGUGUAGUGUUGAUCAGUUUGCAAGUGAAGCAAGUUGAUCAGUGUGUGAGUGAAGCACGGAGUGCGUGCAUAGUGAAGCAUGGUUAGUAUACAGCAGUAGUGGUUGUGCUAAUUGGAUGCAGCGUGUGGCUGUGUUAGUGGAGAUAGCUGCGUGAGUGUUCUUGGCCGGGUUGUGCGGCUGAGACGCAGCUUAGUGUGUUAGUGUUUGUGCUGUGUUAAAAUCAGUGUAACCAAUGUGUUGAACUGUGGUGAAUUUUAGUGUAAAAGAGGGUGCUGGUGUGCAGUGCCACAAAAGUAGUCUGUGUGUUCCUAAUCUGUGAGUGGCUGGUGUGAUCUUGGGAGGUGCUAGAGGCUAACAGACACAGUGAGUAUAAUGUAAAUAAGGCUUCACAGGUUUACUCUUGCUGGUUACAAAUAAGUGCCGUAAAUUAAAAUGGUCAACCAUUUUGAAAUGAUGCAUCCCUGUAAGCUGGACAAGUAUUAUGAACGGGAAUAAUAAGCAUUAUAAGGCACUUUCUCAUUUUCUUAACUCAUGACCGAUAAUAGCAAAAGCCCUGACAGAAAAUUAGGUGCACACUCUCCACAAUACGUCUUUUAAUUAAAUCAUUGUGGCAUUCUCAUGAGCUUUUGGUACAUAAAAUCACAGGAUUAAAAGUAUGCGUUUAAAACGCCAUUGCUAUGCAUGGACACUCUAAGGCAUAAGAUUCAAACUCCGGUCUGUAAAUUCCUCAGCAAACAAUGUUAUACGAUCAUCUAGUCGAACCUAGUCCGCAUGGCACCGAUAAGGCCCUGAACAGACGAUUAAUCGUGAUUAAUUGGGUGAUAAGUCCGACUAAUCAGGGUUUUACCUAGUCAGCUCAGUACCGACUAGGAUGACUAAUCACGAUUCGGACGACUAGAUAACACUGCAGCAAAAUUAAACAAUGAUAUUUGUUUGAUAAAACACCAUAAUAGAUCCUUCUUGCCUAAACAUUUGACAUUUGAGUACAAUCAGUUCAGAAUCAGAUCAUAGCAACAUUUGAAUAUCACCUAAAGCAUAACAUAUUGACCUAAUCAGUUCCUUCUGGAAUAGCUAGUCAUGUGGUAAACCAAUGCUAAGUUUUGAACGUAAGAAUUAAAAUACCCAAUAACAGUCUCAUUCUAUAUAGUUAAUGAUAAUACGAGGGUACAAAUGUCAAGUGGAUUGCAUAAGCAACAUUCUUGACAUUGUAAUGAAGGAGCAUCAACAUAUGAAGAAUGAAGUAUGACCAAGUAGAAAUUCUGAUUGUGCACACACCUCCUUUUGUGACUCGUAGUGUAAGCUGGGCAAAGGUUGUGAGCAGAAACUACAAGAAGUCUCUGAUAAGCGCUCCCAUAUCUUAUCGUCCAAAUUCACAGAAUUAGCAUCACCAUUUGCCACCACUGGAGCAGAUGAAGUUGACACCGCAGAAGCUAUAUCAUCUGCCCGGAUACUGCAUUUUGGCCGAUCAAACAGAAUCAAACCAUCAAUCGAUUUCAUAGGUGCAGAUACCAGAUGCAGCUCCCCUGUUGUCUCCUCCUUGAUUAGUGAUGCUGCCAUCCUGAGGCCACGGUGCACAGACCCUGUUGCAAGGUAAUUAAUGAUCCCCCAAGAUUCCAAGAACCUAACUAUCCUACUCAGAUCAUACAAUUCAGGUGUGCUUGUGACAAGUCCCUGGCACUCGGCAAACACGAGUCUUUUCCCAGGUCGCUCCAAAUACUUCGCAAUCACCCUAUUCCUCAACAUCAUGUACUUCUCCGGUGUUUGCCCCUGGGAUUUUCCAGAGAAGUAUUGUGGCACAACCUGCCUCUCCAACCUGUGCACCGUCGUUGGCACGAACCAAUCUACAAUCAGGAAUGAACAAACGCAGCCCAUAAUUUAAAUUAAUAGUAUGUUCUACCAGGUAGUGUUCAGUGGCAAACAGUGACUUUUAGUGCCAAGAAGAAACCUGAGUGCCUGGGCACGAUGUGAAGUUUGCCGUAGAACUGCUUGUGCACUCCACAUCCCUCCAUGAGUGGAGGCGGGGUGCAGACAUACGUGGACGGCUUGUCAGGGUCGUAGGACAGGGACGGAUGGUCGGGCAGCAUCGCCGAGAUCACCUGGAGCUGACCGUGCGAAAUGUUCUCGAGAACGGGUACCGUGGCUACGGCAGCCGGAGCACCGUCGGCACCAGCCGCCGCGCGCUCCGCGUCGAUGACAGCAAGCACCGAGGGGUGAGGCCGGCCGACGGCGCGGCGGACGGCGGCGGGGAAAACGGAGACCGGCUCGGCAGGAGAGGAAAGCACCUCCGCCCCGCGGAGGUCGAGCACGGGGUCGUCAUCGCCGCCGCCGCCGGCAGCUAGGGUUCCUCCGCCCCCGUUGGCGAAGGCGCCGCGGGUCGCGUCCUCGUCGCCGUUCGCGGCCGCGGCGGAGUCGGAAUCGUCGGAGUGGUCGGCCUGCUGCUUGGACGGGGAAGGGCUGGCGGCGGCGCGCUUCCGCUUCCGCCACUUGGCCCGCGCAUCUGGAGGCGGGAAUGGAAGACGGAGGGAGUUAGGGUUUUGGGGGUGCGGGAAUUGCGAGGCGCAAAGGGGGGUCGAGCGGGGCGCAUACCUGAGUUGGAGGAGGCCUUGCGCGGCAUCGUCGCCGGCGCCCGCGGCGGCGGAGGAAGCGGAGGUGGUGGGAGCCCGGAGAGUCCCCGCGAGCGAGGGGACCACGGUGGUUGGUCGGGAGGCACGUGCGAGGGGAGUGAGCCGAUCGAGGAGUGCUUUCAGCUCGUUCGAAUUUCGGUUCUCCCUCUAGAUUUGAAAUUUUCGGAGCACAGGGUUUCAACCGGUCAGGACGAAAAGGGCACGUUGCUUCAGCUUAUAAACACCUAAUUUGUUACCUAAUUUGUUGUGAGAGGAAAACAUUGUUUGGUGGCUGAUAAGCCGGCUGAAUAAGCUGAAGCGAACAGGCCUUAAAAUUGGUAACCUCGUACUCCGUAAAACUGUCCACACGUACAAUGAUACAGUACGUGAAAAAAUGGAAUAAUGAGAAUUUAAUUGUGUGUUGCCAACUGCAGAUAAUAGCGCGGUUGAAGUAUGGUAACUCCAAGCCCUAUUUGUUUUUGGUUGCUAAGGACUAAAGUUUAGUCUUUUUAAUCCCUAGACUGCCAAACAUGAUGACUAAAAGCGACUCUAAACUUUAGCCCUUUAAUCCUCAAAAGGUUGCUAAAAGGGACUAAAGGAGACUACCGGCAGGGUCUGCCCCUCAUUAAUGCUGCCUGGUCCCCGCCACCCUUCCGCCCGGCCACCGUCGUCGUCCUUCCUCCCGCUCGGCCCCCGUCGCUAGCCUCCCUCCCGUCCAGCCCCCGCUGUCGUCGCCCUCGCCACCCUCCCGCCCGCCGUCCCCGCCAUCGCCAGCACAUCGGAUCUGGGCGCCCACGCCACCGCCACCAUCGCAAGGCGCUCGAGCUCCCCAGAGAUGUCGGAGCUGAAGCUAGAGUAGUCAGAGACGUCCCGCGACAGCUCGAGCAGCUUCGUGGCGGCCGUGUUGAUGGCGGAUGACAACUUGGCGACGGCAACCGGGUGCGCUGGCCCCGUGGUGGCUGUGAGCUCGCUGAGGUGGAAGUCAAUGAUGGAGUCGGUGAGGUUCUAAAUGUCGCCGUCGCCCAUGGCGCGGGGCUGGGGAGCCCGGGGCAGAGUCCGACUUUAGCAGUGCGAAGCGGAUGAUGCGCAUGGAGCGCCCGAGCGGCGCUGCAACCCCGCGGCCGCGCAGGGGCUCUGCCCCGACGACGACGAGGGGAUCUACGAGCCGGCGAGUGACACCAUGGCGCGGCGGGAGGCAUUGAUUAGGGGUAGUUUAGUUUUUGUUCAACUGCUUUAAUGACCUUUAGCCAUUGGAACUAAAGAGGUGGGGACUAAAGCAGUCCAGUGAAUAAGGGGAACUAAAGUUUAGUUUAGUCCCUCGAGGAACCAAACAGAACAGGUCUAAGUAAAGUUAUGACUUAUCGAUCAAAAAAUUAAUUACUGACUCAGAUUGCUAAAAUGUAUUUGGAUGGGAGUUAAUGGUUGGUUCGUUUGCAUGCGUGCACAAAGGCAAAAUUAGGUGGGUGAAUCAACUGCCAAAUUUUUGGCUCACCCUUUGCGUUGGCAAGAUUGACGUUGGUGGAAACUAAAGUCCCCUUAGAGACAAAGACACUACUUGUGCAUUGGAGGCAAAUAUGGAGAAAGAAUAUGGCAAUUGUAUGCCAUUUGUCAUUAGCGAUGACAACUGUGGCUGAACACCUGCCUAAUUACCCUAUAGGCUAGAAUUUUGUAGACCUCAAUUGCUUCGAUAUUUGAAAAGUAAAUAUGUAAUUGUGAAUUAGUAGUUUUGUUAGCUAGUUCUAAUAAUUUAUAGCUAUAAGUAUUUAUACACCUUACUAAUAUGUGCAAAUGUAUUACAUAGAGGAAAACUUGCUAAAGCAUCUAUUUCUACAGCUUAGCACGCAACUUUUACUAUUUCACUACCCAUUAAUCCAAUAUUAUAUGGAAAAAGGGAAAAGCACACCGCGUGCGACUAGUAUUAGGCAUUUAUGUUGACUUCAUGCUCGAGGGUUAAUUCUUAGCUGGCUAAUUACUCCCUCCGUUUCCAAAUUGCAUGUCAUUUUGAUUUUUCUAGGUUCAUAGGUAUUAUUAUGCAUCUAGACAUACACUAUAUCUAUAUGCACAAUAAUACUUAUGCACCUAGAAAAGUCAAAACGAGAGGGAGUAGUUGGCUAAUAGUUAACUUAGCUAAAAUUAGCAACAUGGUGUUUGUCUUUGAAUAUAUGCGUUGAUAGUUAGCUGGAAUCUUGAUAAAAAUCUAUUUUGCCUUUGGUUGGUGGGAGGAGAGGUAUGCCUAAUUUUUAGUAUCUAACAAUUAGCCCAGUGCAUCAGAAUAAGCGCUUAUAGUCAACGACUGUAUUCCUAUUUCGAAAAAACAACUAUAUUCCGCCUUUGUAAUGCAGGAACUAUAUUGUGGUGUUUUACUCUUACCAUACACGUUACUUAUAGCAGUUUUACCUUUGUAGUUGGAAAUGAUUUCCCAAUUAAAUUGCAUGUGAUUUGUCAAAAAAACAAAACGUGCGGCAGCCGAUUCAUAUCCGGGAUUCCGCUAGAGCAGAUCAUGGUAUUGGUGCAUACUUUUAGCACUAGUGACAGCCAUGUAUCCUAUUUUCUCCAUUUCAAAUUGUUUUCUACUCCCUCCGUUCCAAAUUGUAGGUCGUUUUAGCUUUUCUAGAGUGUAUAUCUAGAUACAUAAUAAUAUCUAUAAAUCUAGAAAAGCUAAAACGACCUACAAUUUGAAACGGAGGGAGUAGUAAAUUAUCUAACCUUUGCUAUAUAAACCUGUGCCGUUGCAAAGAUUCGCGAGCCCAAACGUACAGUAACCACAACGCCAUAGCGCAGACGAGCGCAUUAAUCGAAUUCACUAGAGUCUCGAGACCUCUCAAAAAUGGAAUGCCAAUGUUAAGCUGCUAUCUGCCAUCAAUGCGUCGUCAGGGGGCAAGAGGGAAAUAUAAUGCACAAGAUGUAAGACGGAAAAUGUUCCAUGCCAUACUGGACAUCCACAGGCAGAGUUCAGCUAAACUUUGGGCACGCUAGUCACACUUUAACCCAUCACAAAUCUAAGGAAAACGCAGCAACAGAAUAGCGAUGGAGAUUAGCCUUGUGCUGUGCAGCAUCUAAAGACGCCUUCCAGGGCUUGCAAAUGAUGAUCAUCGGUCAUCACCAACACCAUGCCUCUUUGCGAACAUCUCUUAGAAGACCAGCGUUUGUGGCAUGUCGAAAAGAGCACGAAUUGUCUCGCUGGCAACAUCCAAAAGCUGUAGAUACUCAUCUGCCCCAUCGACCAAGCACUGCAAAUUACCCCAAAAGGAGAAAUAUGAUUGUCAUACUACAUGGGAAAAGUACUGGAACUCUGAAAUAGCAGGUUUCCACAUUAAGUUUAUUGCCGAACUACUCAUGUGAAUGAGAAAGGUAUAUGUUUUCCCUCAAAAUAAUACUAUUAUGCAAAUCAUGAUAAUAAGAGAAAGGACCAUGGAAUUACUGUAGUACUGUAAUUUCAAUAGGACAAACCUUAUCAGUUUCCCCAAGCUUUUUACAUAUCCUUGCCUUUUGCUCAUCUGGAAUAUCAUCCGCACUAACAAUUACAUCUAGAAACUGAAUGAGUGCUUCAGUUAGUGGCAGUGGUAAGAUGAAAUCAACAGGGCUAAUAAUUAACUAGAGUAUGGCAUAGAAAUACAGAAUAAAUAGAUGACCUGUGCCAUCAGCUGGGAGACUGGAUAUCCAUCUGCGAUGAUGUUGCUAACUUCCUUGUUUGCAACAUCAAAUUCACCAGAUCUGCAGGCUGCAAGCAGUGACUUCACAACAUCUUCAGGGAUAACCUGACACAGGGUGGCCAAUAUGAUGAGUGGAAGAGCUUGAUUUCCCAAGAUAGCUAAACAGUUUUCUAACUGUUUGUUCAUAUCACUAAUUACUUGCAUGGUAAAAGUUUUCAUAAGAUAAUUUUCCAAGCAAAAGCAUAGAUAAUUUCCUUUAUACCCAAACAAGCUGAUCACUCUGAGUCCAUAACCUCACUGAAGGAUCCACUUUACUAUGUUCUAGGGUAAAACAUCAUCAAGAAAAAUGAAAUUAUAUAACCCUGCACACCAAGCUAAAAUACUAUCCAAAAUAAAAACCAUGCAUUUCAACAUCGCGUAAUACAGGAGCUAGAAAUUUCGUGAUACGUGCUCAGUUAGCCUCUUCGCGAAUAAAAGAGAAGAAAAGUGAGUGGUGGUGUACCCCAGAAACACUGAUCAGGUCACUGGAAGAGAUAGAAGAUCCGAAUAAGCGGGCUGCACUCUGCAAUAAAACAUAAGUAUAUGAAACUAAGAUCAAUUUAGCACAGCUUGAUGCAAAAGAACAUAUUCAGAAACCAGCAGACCUGAAGGUAGGUUAUAGCACGACGAAGAUCACCUUGAGAAAUGGCACUCAGUGUGGACAGCGCCUAAUUUGAGAAUUCAAAGCAACUCAAUGUAAGCAGUCAUAAACAAAAGAAUGCUUGAAGUAAUUGACUUGAUAUUGUUACAUUAAUUCAUGAAGCAGAUAAACAUCAUCUGACCUAUCACAAAGUGAGCCUAAUUUAAGUAAUACCUGAGCAUCAAGAUUGAGACUUUCUUCAUUGCAUAUAUGCAUAAUACGACUGCUCAUCACUUCUUCUGAAAGAGGCUUGAACCUAAACUUUGCACAUCUAGAUGCAAGUGGUUCUAUUAUCCUGUAACACACAUUAACAAAUCAUGAAUUUCAAUUUUCAGUACUUGAACCAUAGAAGAAUAAGAAGAUCAAGCUGACAAAAUACCUGCUGAUAUAGUUGCAUAUAAAAAAGAAUCUGGUCACUUUUGAGUAAGUCUCCAUAGUACGCCUCAAAGCAUUCUACAGGAGGAUAUUAAUAUCACAAACUUACCAUGUGUAACAGGUCUGAAUCAUUACAGAUAGAAGAGUGCUGUGUGUGCAGCAAUAUACCUGGGCAUCUUCUGUCAUCGAAUCAGCUUCAUCAAGUAUAAUCAUCUUGUAAGGUGGGCAGGGAUAACCACUGAAGUUCAUCACAGCAAGUAAACUACUCAUGAAUACAAAAAUCCGAUCAGAACUGAAAAUCUUUCUAAUUUUAAUGAGCUUACGCUUUCCGUGCAGUACCAACAGCAACAGCAGCAAAAUCCUUGAUUUUCGUCCUCACCACAUUAAUUCCACGAUCAUCACUAGCAUUGAGCUCCAAAACUCUUGACUUGUACAGCUCUGGACUGCAUUAUCCAAAGAGGACCAGAAAACUUCAUCCUUAAACAUUCUGGGAGUAGUUUUGCAUAGUUUUAUUUUUUUUUCCAAACAAAUCAGUUUCUAAUGUUAUUUCCUUAUUGACUCGGCAUGAUUAUAGAAAUUUCAUGAGUGAAUUAGAAAAAUUAACCACAUAGUUUUAUUUUUUUUCAAAACAAAUCAGUUUCUAAUGUUAUUUCCUUAUUGACUCAGCAUGAUUAUAGAAAUUUCAUGAGUGAAUUAGAAAAAUUAACCACACGCGUCUAAAAAAAGGGGCGAAACUAAAUUGGCUGACAGCUAAGAGAUUCUUGCAAGUUGAAGAGGAAAUGGAACUUUGCUACUUUUUUUGUAGUAAAUUCGGGUUCCUCCUAAAUGGCUGUUUUAAACACAUAUAGUUUCAUUUUUGCUGUUCUUCUGUUGCAUAAAAAAAUUAACUUGAAUUGCAACUUAACUACAUACCAUUCAACUCACUGGUAUGCACCAACAUAUAUAUUGACUAAUGACUGGCAUGUCUAGGAAUCAACAAUGACCUUGAAAUAACAAUUUACACUUCCUGGAUGUUCAAUUCAAUUCCUAGGAUUGUACAAACAGACAUGGCAAUCUUUUUGACCUUGAAAUAACGAUUUACACUUCCUGGAUGUUCGAGUUCAAUUUCUAGGAUUGUACAAACAGCAUGGCAAUCUUUGUUAUCAGCAGUCCAAGGUCCAACCCUAAUAGUCAGCAUUGACUUAAGUCAGUGAUAGGAUCGAGCAUAGCAAGAUGCACCAUACCCAUCUAUUGCUCCACUGGCCCAUUACACUGGCAAUGGCAAUUACAAUACAAUCCAAGAUUACAUAGUACACUACUCAUAUUAGGCAACCAAACCAAGAAGAAGAAACCAAAAGGACACAAAAAUGUCAAGCAAGAGGGUAUACCCGUAGAGCUGGUAGGCAAUGGCGAGUGCAGUGGUGGUCUUCCCGGUGCCCGGCGGGCCGUAGAACAGCAUGUGUGGCAGCUGCAAGGGACCAUACAGCAAAUAAGAAAGAUCUCCAAGGGGGUUUCCGCGAAUAAAAAGAAGAAUUUGGGGGAGGGAAGAGGGGUUAGGGUUUAGCGCUCGCCCACAUCAGCGGUCUGGAGGGUGUUGGUGAGCACCCGGACGACCUCCUCCUGGUGCGCCACAUCCUUGACCUGCCUUGGCCGGCUGCAGUGGCAGGAGGAACCGGCGCGAUUAGAGCGGAAUCACAGGGUGUUUCAUUCCAAAUCCGGGGAAAAUUUGAGGGGAGAGAGUGGGGGACGAGUGGGGGACUUACUAUUUCUCCACCCACGGCUGCGACAUCGGCACGAGCGGCGCCAUCUCCUAGUCCUCCGCCGCAGCGGCCGCCGCCGGUGGUCGUUGCCGUGCGCGGGGGCGGCGGUGGCGAGUCGGCGGGCUGCUCCUGCGUUUUCGCGCGCUGCGAUUUUUUGGGUUCUCGGCCGUGGGGUUUUCGGCCUUCUGGGGGGCUCAACUCAAGAGGGCCGCCCGCCAGAGUGAGGCCCAGAAGAUUAACCGCUACUCCACAGACAAGUGGGCCAAGUUUUGUGGCCCACGGUUCAGUGAGUAGUCUAAGUAUAAAAUGGUGGUCCCCUGCUUCCUUCUCUCCCCGUUUCGGCCUUUCCCUCCCCGUCCGGCCGUCCAUUUCUGACUACCCUUGAUCGAAGUGGCGGCUGGCCGCCAGAGCACAAGCUGAAUACGCAUCCGUCUGCGGCGGCGGCGGCUGGGCACGCCGGCAUCCAAGGAGGCGGAGGCUGCGACGGGUGUGCGCACCGGUAAUCCAAGGCGGCGGCGGAGGAGGAGGAGGUUGCUUCUCUUCUGAACGGCGCACGAGGUGAGCAUGGAUUUGAAAUUUCGAAUCACAAACCCCCAAAAUCCCUCUGAGAAACGGCAAUGGAGGAAGUAUCCCCAAGCCUAACCAGGCGCCGCUCGCAUAAACCGCAGAUUUGGCCGCGCCUUUGCCGGGAUGGAGGAAGGAAGCCCGGCGCCGGCGCCGGCGGCCUCGGCCUACCUCCCCGACGACGUCGUCGUCGAGAUCCUCGCGCGGCUGCCGGCCAAGCCGCUCCACCGCUUCAAGUGCGUCUCCCGGACCUGGCGCCGCCUCAUCACGGACCCCGCCCACUCCCGCAGGUUCGCGCAGACCCUGUCGGGCCUCUUCUUCUCCCUUGGGUACGAGGCCGGUCCGCCCUGCUUCGCCGGUUUGCACACGCCUCCGCCUCCUGGAGUCGACACGGCUCUCUCCUUCCUGCCCCCCAGCUGCGGCGAGAUCGAGCUGCUCGAUUCCUGCAACGGGCUCCUACUCUUGCGAUGCUCGCGCUCCCGCAGGUCAACUCGGAUCCCCUUCUAUGUCGUGUGCAAUCCGGCCACCGGAAACUGGGCUACCUUGCCCCAACCUAGCCACGCCCCAGGGGAGAGGGGCUAUGAUGAUGAACUCAUGGCAAACAAGAACACCUGCAAUGCUGCACUAGGCUUUGAUCCGGCUGCCUCCUCGCAUUUCCAUGUGCUUCAGCUGGUGGAAAAGGAGGACCAAUAUGAGGAUAUCGUCGUGGCGAUGGAGAUUUACUCAUCCGAAACUGGCAUAUGGGUUUUCAAGGAGCCGCGCGCCGGGGACGAAUGACGGAGUCAAUGACACCUACUCCGCAGCGCUAGGCUUUGAUCCGGCAGUCUCCUCGAAUUUCCAUGUGUUUCAGAUGGUGCAGGAGCAUUACUACGACGAGGACUUGUUUGUCGUGGCGGUGGAGAUUUACUCAUCCGAAACUGGCAUAUGGGUUUUCAAGGAAAGCAGAUGGAGUGAGUGGGACAUCCGAUUCACCGGACAGAUGACCUAUUUCAAUGGCUUCCUGCACUUCUGCAUCGCCUCCAACGCGGUGGCCUCGGUGGAUACACAGGGCCAGGCGUGGAGGGUCUCCCGUGUGCGGCACAAUGCAGUUUAUGGCUAUAGCUCUUCUAUCAGCCAUUCUCAGGGGCGCUUGCUUUAUGUUGAUAACAAUGUCUGGCAGAAUGAUACCCUGUCAAUCUAUAUUCUCGAGGACCACAAUAGUGAGGAGUGGACAUGGGCCUUCAAGCAAAGUAUCUACAAGCCGGAUCUAUUUGGACCAAGACCAGCACAAGGGGGCUGGGACUACUACAUAGCUGCAUUUCAUCCAAACGGCGAUUUGGUUUUCUUCUAUGAUGAGCGUCAGAAAAGACUGAUGUCCUAUGACAUGAAACACGGACAUGUGCACGUUAUCUGUACUCUUGGAGAAGUGCUCAAACUUGUGCAUGGAGAAUAUUAUGACGUGCGUCGCCUGUUUUUACCUUAUGUUCCAUUGUACUCAGGGGCAUUAGCAUCGCCUAGUAUCAACUAGAAAUGCUUCGCAUCCAUCAGCACAAGGUUCAAAUUUGGCAUCGAUGUCUUUAGAAGGAGCUGGUAAGCUAAAUUGAAUCUUCACACAUCUAGCGCCAAUCAGUAAACUAGAAGUGUGUCUGUCUCAAUCUGCCAUCCGUGUUGUUAUGAGCUGCCAACAAUAUCUAUUUAAGUAUUUGUUUGUAUAUUUACUGAUUUGGUAUAAAAAUGUCUGAACCUUCUGGUCGUUUGCCUAGACUGAAGUCUAGGCUGACUAAAAGCUAGUCAAAAGUUGACCUACCAUUUACCAUUUAGCGUCUAGAAAUAUACAUUAGUCUAAGCAAUUGAAUGUGGGGCAUUAGUUAGUUAAACUAUAUCUCAUGACCAUUUGGAUUCUCAACAAUAAGAUAUUCCAUUAAUCGAAAGCAAGGGUAUACAAAAUAUAAGUUGAAGACGGUACAUACAUUCAUUAUUUCAUUGUAUCCAACCUCCGGUCCGAUCGUUUUAUAAUGGCCUGUAAUGCAUGUUUGGUCAUGUUUAUACUCAUUUGGUUAGGUUCCUUGUGAAAUCAGUUGUGCAAUACGUGCUCGUCAAAAGAAGAAACUUUUGUUAAGCUCGCCGAUUUCAAGAUUUGCUAGUUUGUUCAUAUUGGCGAUUGUGCACAUAUGUAUAUGACAUAUGAGCAUUUGCCCUAUUUUGAAAAAAAUAUCACCCUUUGUAGUUACAUGAUAUCAAAACAAAAAAUAUUAUUAUUUCAUAUACUCAUGUAAGUGUAUUUCUUUAAAUACUUUGUUAAUGCUGUCAAUUUCACUUGAGGAUAAAAUAUUUCAUUAAUGGCGAGAUAAAGGUUUGCGCCAGCGUGGGGUGCUUUCUCGCCCUUUACACCGCCAACGCACCAGCUGUUGUGGGAAGAGCUUGAGUCUCACUGCUCGUCCUCUUCACCAAGAGGAGGAAUAUCUGCUGCGAAGGAGGAAUUUAGUACGUCUGUCCAAGUUGUCAAGCGUAGUCUAGUAUAGGUUUCAGUUUGGCCUGUCUGUAGCCUGUUUUUCGAGUUAUUCUGCCUUACAGUUGAGGCUAUGUCAGGUGACCAAAACAAAUGCCGUAAAACGUUUAUGACCAAGGUACUAAGUACAUUCGUAGCGCCCGCUAUAGCGGUAGCGGUACAAGAUAGUGGACCUAAGAUAGCAUGUUUGAACUUAGCAACCGCUAUUGUCCGCUAUUGCGACCGCUAUUGCUCACGUUAGGUCGCUAUUCACUAUACUUACAGUUCAAGUGACAUAUGAAUAUGAAUCAAAUGGUAGUAAUAAUAUUUAAAAUAGUAAUUUAAGUAUUGACAAAGAGUUAUUGAAUGAAAAAUGAAAUUUUUAUUUAUUGAUAUGGGAAUUUAAUGUUAAUAUAUAUCCAUAAAUCUUAAUUAUACCUAUUUAUUUGUGAUUAUUACCGUGAAAUGUAAUGGCUAACUUAAAACUAUAACUUUUUAUAAGUAAACUUGAUGAUAAUAUUUAUAUACUAUUUUUUGAAUUCCGCUAUUUGGACUUAGCACAUACUAUCCGCGAUCCGCUGCACCGGUACUAAUCCACCAUCCAAUAAACAAACAAAUUGCUACGGAUUGAUUCAGCCGCGCAUCCUCUCAGAUCCCCUCUCUCGCUCCAACUCCGAUCGAGAAUCUCUCGUUUCUGCAAUACCUAGUCCGACCCUGCAAACAAGCUAUUUAAGCCGGUUGAAAGUUUAGUCGGACUUAAAAGUUGAAAUAGCUUAAGCAAGUUGAGCCCAUAGACUCAAAAAUAAUAAUUCAGUUACCCAUAGUCAUAUGUGAGCUUCCUAGUGACUAGUGAAGACUGAGGAGAGUACUUAUAAAAGUAAGAAAAAGUAAAAAAAAAAGUGGUAUGGGGAAAAAAUAUUCAUCGCACGCCUGGUGGGACUCGAACCCACAAUCGUCUGAUUAGAAGUCAGACGCCUUAUCCAUUAGGCCACAGGCGCUACUUGUCUUUUGUGAGACCUUUUCCAUCAAGGAUCUAGGUGCCCGCUUCAAGGUUCCGCCAUCGAUCAAGAGAGGCGGAGACCCUACCCCACCGCAUCUGGAACAAGAACCGGAGCGAGGCGAGCCACCGAUCCUCCGCCGCACCACGUCGCCGGAUCCAAAGGAGAGCGGGGGUGAGCAAGAUGGAGGCUUCCAAGAAGCUCAGCGCCGGAUCGACGGGGAAGAGAAGGCACGGGUCCACGGCGCUGUUCGUGGCGGUGGACUACGCCUUCCUGCUCGCCUUCGCCGGCUUCCUCGCCUACCUCGUCGGGUCCCGGAUCCUCCCCUCCGUCGGUCCAUCGGCCUAGAUCGGCUCCCGUCCUCCGUGGAUCUCUUCUUUCUCUGCCGCUCUGUAUUUCGUUUGGAUUCGAUAUGAGGCCCAUCCCGGGAUCUUUCCCGGGCGAUGGAUCUCGUCUCGUUGUGAUGCGGCUCCUGCGAUGUAAUCCAAUCCCAUUUUGUUGAGGAGAGAACUAGUGAUGUUUCUUGGCAAUCGUCAUGCUGAUGUGAGAAAUCUUUGCUUGUUCAGUUGCUACAUCUGUUCGUGUACUGAGAUUGCUUAGCAUAAUAGCAUUUGAAUUGAUCCGGCUUCUAUGUGCCUGUCUGUCCGACUGAAAGUGAAUCGAUCAGGUUAAUCUCAUGCUUCGUUUUUUAUCUGUGAUCUGUGAUUCAAUACUUGUGAUUUGUGAACUUGGUUUCUGUGCUUUUACUUGUCUUCUAAAUAUCUACCAUAACUCAUCCUCUCUCUUGCCUAGCACAUUAGUUGAGUAAUAAUCACUGUCAUUCUUACCUGCCUGUACUAUAAACCAAAGCUGGAUCCAAAAUGAGCAACGAGGUUCAGCUGUCAUUUCAGCAAUUCUUGGUCGUUAUUGAUCCAAAACGAGCAACGAGUUAUUCACUACUUCAUAUUUUGCCACAUUUUGCUCCAAAUUCAAAUGGACCAGUAUUUUUUUUUCUGAAGGAAUGGUAUGAUGCCAGUUAUCCUUUGCCAUUACUCCGGAAAUACUGUUUCUCCUCCGUCUUACAGUGUUCUUACCAUUAUUUUUCUGUUCGUGAUGUCAAACUAGACUCAAAUUUUGAGAUGUUUAGCCUACAAAUGCUGAAGGGUAUGGGUAUCUGUUUGCUGAGAGAACUCGUUAGGACACAAAAGCUUAGAGCUCUAGUGCUUCAGAAAACAAUAGGUUGAAUUCAAGCAAAAUACACCUGUUCAAUUUUCAUUGCAAGAGGAAGAGAUCAGGUCUUUUUAGCAUCUCCACUAUGAAAACCCGUACCAUACAUACAGCACAUUGCAUCAAAAGUCUCAUUUUAUCUUCCUGACUGCCAAUAUGAGGAAUACUUCAUGAGGCUACUGCCUGACUGCCCGACAGCAACGAUCAGUCAGCAUAUUCCUUGAUAGCUGCUGUACUUGUGCUCGUUUAGGAGCUGGCAUACAGAUACUCACAAGUUUACGACACUAAACGGAUGCCUGCGACUGAUGGGAUCUUCUCUCUGAGCUUCUGAGCUAGCGCCACUCGAACAGUCUUCACACCUGCAGCGCGGCCUGUGAGCCGGACUUUAACAAUGGGGCCAACAAUCUUGAUGAACUCAAGCUUGCCACCUCCUGUGCCAGCAAGGUAUGGUCUGAUUUCAGCUAGUACCUGAAAUUUAGUUUAAUGGAGGCACCAAUACUUUCAGCUAUCCCUUUUUAACAUUUUUGUCUGUAAGAAGGUGAAAAGGGUAGAUCUUUAAUGGUGUGUGUGGUGUAGAUUGAUGCCAGGAGACACGGUAUAAUGUCACAAACAAUUAUUGGCACUAUGGUAAUAGAGAAAUAUCACUUAAUCAUAAAGAAAAGAAGAUGUUUUAUCCAUUCAGAGUUUCAGACACUCCUAUUUCCUGCAUAGCAGAACUGACAAAUUCCAGUGUUUCAUAUCUCAUACUAAUAUAAGCUGGACUUGGAGUUCUAUUAAGAGCAGGAAUAGUUUUGCUCCAGGUAUUGAGCGCUUAGACCAACAAAAGGUUACCUGCAUUUUUCUCAUAAGAUAAAAAAAUUCAAUAGAAACAAGCCAGCAACAUAGUUUCAAUGUAGAAGGAAUGCAAACCCAAAACAGUUCCAAUGCUUGAACAAUGAUGUGAUAAUAAUUGGUCCUAAACUAUAGCUUAGCACUAAUUUGCACAAAACUGGUGGUAAGAACUGGCAACAAUCAGUUAUAUUUAUACAAGACUCUAAUUUCAGAGCAUAUUUAUAUUUCAGUUUUUACAUGUGCGAGGUUGCUAAUGCUGCAAUAUUAGCACAUUCUAGACAAAAUUUGUAAGGUGGGUCUAUAUAUGCAUAUUUAUUUAGACGUUUUCUUGAGCUAGGCAGGGCAUCAAAUUUGACAAACGUCCCUGUGGGAAAAUAUUCAGUGCCAAGCAGUCCUGGACCUAUCGACCAUAUAUCGAUGCCAUCACCUGCAUGUUUACGCGAUCACUGGAGUCACCCUAACUAUGUCUAUUCCUGCAAAUAAUCUAACAAGUGUACAUGAUUCAGAACAAUAAAAACAAAAUAAGCCUACAAGUUGACAAGUACCUUCUGCACAUUAGCUGGAUUUAGCUUAAGCCCCAUCUCCUUAUCCGAAACACGUUCAACUGCACUGAUCUCUGGUAUGUUCUCUAUCAAGCGCCGCUCGAUGCCCAUCUUCAUUGUUGUCACUGAGCUUGGACACGAACCACAUGCUCCCUGAAGCUUUAACCUCACCACACUCCCAUCAAUCUUAUGCAAGGCGACGUCGCCUCCAUCUGCUAUUAGAUACGGGCGCACUUUAUCCAGAACCGACUCGACAUUUCCAACGGUUAGUGGCAAUUGUACCACUGUAUGCAGGUCGGCAACAGAUCGAGCAACUGCUACAAACAGAACAACAGUAGGUGAAGGUUCAGUUGACCUCAUAUAAUGGCAGGGUACUGAAUCGGCGCAGAGUUUCAGCUAAAUAGAUGCAAUGCAACGGAAGCACGGAACAAUGAAUCUUAUUUAAACAAUGUAUUUAUAUUCAUCAAAAUCAAGUAAAAGUUCCUCGUCCCAAUGCAGGUAUGCGAGCAUGUUGAGGGAACAUCUGCAGAAAGCUUUGCGAUUGGCAACUGCAGCGCCGACGAUAGGGAGGCCUCACCUUGCAGACGCCGGCGGCCAGCGGACAUGGCGGCAACCAAUCUUGGCGUAGGGCUCCCACGCGGCCACGACGCGACCCUCACCUUCAGACCGGAGAAUCUCAGUUAGCAUCGUCACAUUCCCAAAGAAAGUAUGGGGAAACAGAAGGCAAGAGGACGCCAUGCCCAACCAUGGACGAGGAGGAAGUGGACGGCGCAAACUGCGCCGCGCCCGCGGCGGCGGCGGCCGCCGCCGUCGCCAUCUCCGGUGGCCCGGCCCGACUGGAACGGCCCCUCACGCCUGAGGCCUGAGGGUGAAGUAUUCCAAUCGGCCGGCGUGGGGGUCGAGACGCUCCCAAUCGCCGGCCGCCACCGUUGUUCCUCGUGUGCGGGCGGGUGAUUUUGUAUCGUGCCGCUAUUCGCGUGCUCGCGCUUUCUCCUCUCGGGCGCGCCGGCUCGCCCGGGCGCUCGUUUCNNNNNNNNNNNNNNNNNNNNNNNNNNNNNNNNNNNNNNNNNNNNNNNNNNNNNNNNNNNNNNNNNNNNNNNNNNNNNNNNNNNNNNNNNNNNNNNNNNNNUCUGGCAGCAAUGGCAUAUGUCUGAAAGGGGAAAAAAUGUUUUUUGAACUACUACAAUAUAUGCAUAAUGGAACAGAUAAAAGACAAAGAAAAGAUUGCAAAUCUCCAUUGGUUUAGCAGAAUAAAUGUUAAAGAACAUUUGAUGCAUGGGGUGAAUAUAUAUAUUUAAACCAAUACUCCAGACUGUAUUCUGUAAAUAACAGUGUGACGGGGGGUUGCAUCCGGAAAUGAGCUCGCUGUUUUUCUAUUUUCCUCACGAUGGAAUUCGACGUUCGAUUCCUCACGAAUCUUUUCUUUUCGUCAACUAGCGAAAUCACACGAAUUUAAGAAUUCUAGAUUUUUCAAUCUGAAUAGUGUCCAAAUGUUUGGACAAAUUUGCGGGGAAAAGAUCAAGACUAGUUACAUAAUGCCUUUUCUGUUUGUACGCAACUUAUGCUCUAGUCCAAAGUAUUAUGGUUAGGUUGCAGUAGUGGGAGAAAAGAUGCCCAUGUUACAAGUAGAUCUUUGAGCCCGUGUCAAAUAAUGUGGCACUUUCUUUUGUCGUGCUCCACCUGUCAGUAGAAAAGAAAAAGGUACGAGGAAAAUAGAGUGAGGAGUGAAAGCUGACCUUGCAAGUUCAAACAAUGUCAGAAGGGGUGUUCGCUACUGCUCUGGAUGCAUAUUUCAUCCAUUAAGGUGGCAUUAAACAUUUAUAAGCAUAUAUGACCUAAACAAAACUCAAACUUAACUGAAAUCCUUUUGACCAAAACCAUACUUCCAUGGUUACAAUUAUUUUCGUGAAUUUUUAAUAUGAAAUGGUAGAUAGCAUGCUGUUAUAAAAGCUACUCAAGCGUUUGUCCAACAAAUUAUGAUAGGAGGAAAGAAGAUAUUUUGUAGGGGCAAAACCAUAAAACUAUACUGUGGUGAUUGGUGAAACACAAAACAUCACUAUUUGGAAAACAAUGAAGCUGUCGAAACUCAAAAGUUUGAAGUUAUUUGGAAACACAUGUUAAUGAAUGGAUGUUCUGGAGUCUGACAGUGUGUCGGUGUCAACGAACGCGAACAGGUUAGGCAGGCAAAAAAAAUUACCUGCCAUGGGCCUCUCUCUGGGAGUCAACGGUCCACGGAUCCCAGAGCAGGGUCAUCAUAGACCGUCCAAACCGCCGAGGAAAACAACCAUCUCCUGGAAUCCACGGGCACCCGGCAAAGAAAACGCCCGCAGGCCGGCAGGCAGAUCGCGAGGAGGCAGCUGGGCUCGUGAGUCUUGCCGUCUCGCGGGCCAACCCGAACCCCAAGGCUCGCGACCGCGACACUCCCCCGUCUCCUCCUCCCGCUCGCUCCUCCUCAGAUCUCGCCGCCGGCGGACAUGCUCCCCUCCUCCCGCGCCGCCCGUGGCCGCGGCCUCGGCCUCGGAUGCCUCCUGCUCGGCCUCGCCCUCACUCUCGCGUCCCUGCUCGCCCUCGCCGCCGCCUCCGAGGCCGACCACAAGGUACGCGCGCGUCCAUCCUUGCCGCCCCGGAUCCAAGUCUCUGCUCCGCCCGUGGGUUGGAUCGCCGCCGGAUCUGGGCCGCCUCUCCGGUCGGAUCCCUGCGCUGCUGGGUUGCUGGCGGUGGCGGCGGCUCUCGCCCGGGGCGCUUCUAGUGCGCGGUUUGAUUGUUCAGACAGAGGGAGCUGACGAGAUGAGAGAGUUGUGUUGGAUGGUUGCGGAUGUUAAAAGCAUGCCGCUCAUCUAGAGUAUAGGUUUGCUUGAGAAGUAAGGUUCGAUGUGGGAGUGCAAAUGGGCGUGCUGGGACUUCAGCAUGAAAGCUUAAUGGUUCAUGGGUUUUUGAAUUUUCAGUAGAUGGUUGCGGUGGUUGAUGUUGGUCCGAGUUCUGAUGCUUAGAAACAUAUAUAACUUAGUGUCAGUAAGGAGAAAUUCUUGUACAUUUGGGUCUAGUACAGCUAUAUCCUGUGGAUGUCUGUGUUUUUGUGUUAGAAGGAGAAAUGUAUAACUUAGCUCACAGAAUUCCUAUGCCUUUGGUUACAACUAGCAGUGUCGUUAUUAUUCAUGCUCUCUGUCAUUGAUAAUUCACUGAUAACAUGCUAUGUGCUAUCCUGAAGCUAUGGAUACGUUUGGCCAGAAUUCUAGAUUUUUAUGUUUACUCAGCAUUUUUCUAUGUUCUACCAGAAUGUCACAGACUACUACGUGCACUGAGUUUACCUCUCUUUUCUUUUCCUCAAUCAGGCUUAAUGUUGAGGUAUCUUAGAUUUUUUUUAUCACUAAAUGAAAAAACUUCCUGGUAAUGGUCCAUCUUUAGUCGAUUCAUAAAAUUUAUUUAUGCUAGAUAUCACGCUGAUGGAAACAUCAAAACCAAAAUUUGUAAAUAGCAGAGAGAAUCUUUAUUAGUAAGAUGUUGCAGUUACUGCUGUCAUUCUUGAGUACUUAGGAUAUGUGAAGAAAUUGUUUUUAUAACUUAGCAAGUCUCAAUGAUAGCUGCUAUCAGGAAUAGUUACUAAGAACCCCAUGGCUUCUCUGUUUAAAUCUGGAUAGUAUUACAUUAUAUUAUAGAUAUGUCGACCCACCAAUCCCUGAUAAAUAAUUCAAUACAGAAAUUAGAAGCAGAAAUCAUCCAUAGCAUCUCACAGAUUUACUUCAUGUGACUGCUGUGUUGUAUAUAAGCUUUAGUAUUUUUUUCCUUGCGAAAUAAAUUAUGCUUCCUACAUGCAGUACAAAUAUGUUCCAAACUCAAAAGUUUUCAUCCUUUUUGUGCUUCUUUCAUGCAGUACAAAGCUGAAGAGCCAGUUAAGCUCUGGGUGAAUAAAGUUGGCCCUUACAACAACCCUCAAGAAACUUACAACUAUUACAGCCUUCCAUUUUGUCAACUAUCUGAGAACCCUAUACAUAAAUGGGGUGGCCUUGGAGAGGUCCUGGGUGGAAAUGAGCUGAUUGAUAGUCAGCUUGACAUAAAGUUCUUAAGUAUGCCGAUAUUGUUCCCAUUUCAUCCAUGUCUUUAUUUACUAUAUAUUAGAAAGUCCAUAUUCCUGUAAGUACACCUUUUCUGCCUUACUGAUUGUAUAAGUGUUACCUUUGGUCUAGGAAAUGAGGAGAAGGGCUUCAUUUGUACACUUGAGCUAGAUUCUAAAAAGGUUCAGCAGUUUGCUGAUGCUAUUGAGAACUCAUAUUGGUUUGAAUUAUUCAUAGGUAUGUGGAUCCACUUUUUGAUCCAUUAUGUCCUAUUGUGUUAUGAUGAUUAGGGAUGUGCUUAUUUCUGACACCGUUUUUCAUCAUUGUCGGUAUCAAUUGCUUUUGGUUGUUUGCUGCCAUAUUCUCCUAGACGAUCUGCCUCUUUGGGGUAGGCUCUUCUCAACUAAGUAUUUUAUUCUCUCAGUUUUGUGUCUUUUUUUUUACCUGACAUGAUAGUUGUCAUCUGUUCCGAACAGGUUUUGUUGGGGAGACUGACAAGAACAGUGAAAACAAGCAUUAUCUUUACACCCACAAGAACAUCCUUGUUAAAUACAAUGAGAACAGGGUAUGCUAUCUCGCGUUGAUCCAGAUUCGAGAACACUAACACAUAAAUCUGGACGCAACUAAAUAUGUGAACUUUGUUUUAGAUAAUUCAUGUAAAUCUCACCCAAGAGUCUCCUAAGCUUCUUGAAGCUGGUAAGAAGCUGGAUAUGACAUAUUCAGUGAAGUGGGUCGCAACAGAUGUGUCAUUUGCACGUCGUUUUGAAGUGUACCUGGACUAUCCUUUCUUUGAACACCAGGUGAUACUUUAUCUGUAGACAACCAGCAACUUUCUAUCCAAUCUGUCAAUUUGAACACUAGAUAGCUGUAUCUUCCCUUUUUACUAACUACAAUAUUCUAAUUUAUGUUCAUAUUACUCUUUCAGAUUCACUGGUUCUCCAUUUUCAACUCCUUUAUGAUGGUUAUUUUCCUAACUGGUUUGGUUUCAAUGAUAUUGAUGCGGACUUUGAGAAAUGAUUAUGCUAAAUAUGCUCGUGAAGACGAUGAUCUGGAGUCCCUGGUGAGAAUCUGAGUUCCGGUGCACAUGCUUUCUAACUGUAUACUUGAUAGCUUGAGAAAUUUCUUUUCCUAGCUUUUGCCCACUUCCCACUCAAUUAUUGCUUAAGUUAUCAUAUUACCUUGGUAGGAGAGAGAUGUUAAUGAUGAAUCAGGAUGGAAGCUUGUCCAUGGUGAUGUAUUUCGGCCUCCCCGAAGUUUGAUGUUUCUUUCUGCACUUGUUGGUAUUGGCACCCAGCUGGCAGCUCUUAUCCUACUUGUGAUUGUGUUGGCCAUCGUUGGCAUGUUAUACAUCGGGUACGCUCAACAUACACCCCCUUUCCCUUCUCCUUGCAUGCACAACUUAUAGCUUGAAAUAUCUGUGUAGCUAAAAUGUCAUGCUCAUAUGGGGGAAAACAUACAGUGCACUGUGCACAAUACAUGAAAGUAAUGCAGGGAUUAUAUAAAAUUUUGUAUGGGACGGGCUUUUGUAGGAUCAGAACCAUUUUAGUUUGUAUCCAUGAUACACACCACAUGCCUGUUGGAAACUUCCCGGGAGCCAUGGAACUCUUAACUAAAUCGGCUUUUAAUCAGUGUGCAAAUAGCUGGGUUUAAAGUUGUCUCCGGCUGUUUUGGCUGAAUACUGCACCUUUUUCAGCAGUUGAAAUAAUGCAUGCUCCUUUAGUUUACCUAUUCGUUUUCUUCUGGAUGCACUUGAAUUAUAAGCAAAAGAGUGUUAAAUCCUCCUUUUUUAUGUUCUACUCCCUCCGUUCCAAAUUAUAAAUCAUUCCAACUUUCUUGGAGAGUCAAAACAUCUUAAGUUUGACCAAAUUUAUACAAUAAAGUACUAACAUUCAUGAUACCAAAUAAGUACCAUUAGUUUCUUCAUUAAAUAUAUUUUCAUGGUAUAUCUAUUUGGUGCCAUAAACCUUUGUGAUCCUCUCUAUAAUUUUGGUCAAACAUAAAAUGGUUUGACUCUCCAUGAAAGUUGGAAUGACUUAUAAUUUGGAACGGAGGGAGUAGAAGUUACUCCCUCCGUCCCAAAAAACAAGUUGUUUUAGGAUUGUCCUAAGUCAAACUUUUUUAAGUUUGACUAAGAUUAUAGAAAAAACUACAUUAUUUAUGGUAUGAAAUAAGUGCCAUUAGAUUUAUUAUGAAAUAUAUUUUUAUAAUAUACCUAUUUGAUGCCAUAAACAUUGAUACUUUUCUCUAUAAAUUUGGUCAAAGUUGAGAAAGUUUGACUUAAGACAAACCUAGAAUGACUUGUUUUUUGGGAUGGAGGGAGUAUGUUAUUAAUAUCAUGUCGCAUUAUGUUUUACUUCUCAAAGUGAUGGUGGUCUGCCCUUUUGUACAUAUAAGUGAUUAAUUAUAACCUUAAAGACAUACAUUGCCUCUUGAAAUAUUUAAGCAGGUGUGCAAUCCUUUCCACAAAUUGUCUUUCUCUAACUUCAACUGUAUGGUGUUUUUCAGGCGAGGGGCUAUCAUCACAACCUUCAUUGUGUGCUAUGCUCUUACAUCGUUCAUUUCUGGAUAUGUUAGCGGUGGUCUUUACUCAAGGAAUGGUGGUAUGGUUCUGCCAAUUUCAUAUUUGUUCUACUGUUUGUUUGCACAUUUUUUUUUUUUGCAAAUAUCUUUUGCUGUCUCAUGCUAUUCUUCUCUUUCAAAGAUUUCAAGUUAUCAUGUAUGGAACCCUGACCUCAAUCUAUGGCUUAUCGAAUGCAUUUCUUGAAUCUGUGGCAGGCAAAAACUGGAUUAAAGCUAUGGUCCUUACAGCAUCCCUCUUUCCGUUCCUGUGUUUUUCAAUUGGCUUCGCACUGAAUACAAUUGCUAUCUUCUACCGCUCAUUAGCAGCAAUACCAUUCGGCACAAUGGUUGUCAUGUUUGUACUUUGGGCUUUCAUCUCCUUUCCCUUGGUGCUUUUGGGAACUGUCGUUGGUAGGAACUGGAGUGGUGCUCCUAACAACCCCUGCCGAGUAAAGACUAUUCCACGGCCUAUUCCUGAGAAGAAGUGGUACCUUACACCUUCUGUCAUCUCGUUGAUGGGUGGACUGCUUCCCUUUGGCAGCAUCUUCAUUGAGAUGUACUUUGUCUUCACGUCAUUCUGGAACUACAAGGUAAACAAGGAAGUGUUGAUUAAUACUUUUGCACUCCUUGAUAUUCUCCUUUACCGUUAUGGUCUACUUUUAUACUUUAAGGUGUACAUGAUUGGUUAUUUUUUAAUGUUCUCUGCGGAUUCUAAAUGAUGUCCAUGCUUCAUAUUGCAUUUUGUGUAUGAGCUUGUCUGGAGCCAUAUUUGCAAUUUUUGUUGGAUCAACCGCCCGAUUGAUGCAAUUUUGGGUUCUUGGCAGGUGUAUUAUGUCUAUGGUUUCAUGUUGCUGGUCUUCGUCAUCCUUCUAAUAGUCACCAUCUGUGUCACUAUUGUGGGUACUUAUUUCUUGCUGAAUGCCGAGAACUAUCAUUGGCAAUGGACUUCGUUUUUCUCUGCAGCAUCAACUGCUCUCUACGUGUAUCUAUACUCCAUCUACUACUACCAUGUGAAGACAAAGAUGUCAGGCUUCUUCCAGACAAGUUUCUACUUUGGCUACACAUUGAUGUUCUGCCUUGGUCUAGGCAUACUUUGUGGUAAGCUCUCUUUUUUAACUGAACAAUGUGCCUUUGCUAUAUACGGGACUGCUUUUAGUUUUUGACUCCUGCUUUUUUUCCCUGUGAUUCAGGUGCUAUUGGGUAUGUAGGGUCAACUCUCUUUGUAAGGAGAAUCUACAGAAAUAUCAAAUGUGAUUAAAUUCCUGCUACUCACUAUCAUACGGAAGCAAGGCCUCGAAAAUGGAUCAUAUGUAUUGCCAGUGCGGAAGCAAGGCCUCGAAAAUGGAUUAAUGGUAGAUCCUGAAUAGGUUUUUGAAACUACAGAGGACAUGCUCCCUUUGUUCACUAUCAUACGCAUUUUUUGCUUGCCUGCUUAUUCCUGUGGAAUCGUCGUCAUAAUGUAUACCUAUGUAGUUGAGGAUUAGCCUGAAGCACCUGUUUUUAUCCUUUUCUUUUUCUUUUUUUUUGUAUUUUUAUUCGGUAGGAUGUAAUCAGUGAAUCUUCAUGCGGCGCAAGCACAAUUAUCGGGAAUUCUCCAUCCUAUGCAUCGUGCAUCUUCAAGUUUGAACGAGUGACCACGGGCAGCAACUUAGAUUAUCAACAAAUUGCAAGUAUACAUGUAUAACUGUCUCUGUCUGGCCGCACUUUGGAGGGACCCGAGGCCUAUUACAUGUAUACUCGGUUUGUAGUCGUAGUUCUGGACAUCACUUGUGUCACCCAACGCAUAAAUAACUCUGGAAUAUGUAGCAAUAUUUCCUUUUUUUUGUUGAGUGAUUAUUUGGGUAAAAACACAAUUGGAAAUUAGGGGCAAGAUCACUAAAAAAAACCUAAAAAUGACAUGGGGAGAUGAUGGGCCUUGCUGGAGGUACCAGCUCUGGGCCGAGCUGGGUAAACAGGCCUGGUUACAUUUUUGUCCUGCUAAUUGGUAUCUAAAACAGGCUUGGUUACAUUUUUAUCCUACUAAGGUCCUUUUUAGCUCUGGGCCAAACUGGGAAAACAGGCUUGGGCCGAACAGAUCGAGGACAAUAAAAUCUUCAUAUAUGGGGCUGAUCGUGGAGAUGUGAGCACAACCGAGGAGAGAGAUGCCUGGGAAAGAAAAUAGGAAAACAUCGGUAAAAGCAUAUGUCCCUUGGCGGUGUGUCAUCAGGUAAUUAUUAAGAAAUUUCGUCCGACGUAGUCCAGGACAGUAGUGUGCUACAGAAGCAUCUUACAGAAAAAAAAAAUCUUAUUUCUUGACCAGUUUAAAAACGCUGUGAACUUUUAAUAUGCGCACAUCUCUUUUCGACCCUGACGUGCCGAUGAUCUGUGCACGUAAUGUGAACACGGCGAUUCUGAUAGGGUUGGUGGAAAGAAAAAAAAACCCGAGACAAGCCAAUGAUGAUGGAUCAUGGAUGAAUCCUCCGUGAAUUUCCUCAUAAUUCCUCGCAAAAAAAAAUCCGCAUAAUUCGAAUUUCGUCCCAAAGCGGUCAAGCCGAGCUGAAGCACCAGCACUCUAGCAGCUAGCUCUGCGAAGGGGUCCAGUCCACCCCUUCACAAGCACAAUACGUUGAAACUUGAUGAAACACUAGAUGUAGGCAGCAGGCUGAUGCAAAGAUCGACUUUCCCGGCUUGACAAAUUCCGAGCCUUCCAAUCGAAGAGAUGCAAGCAUGGCGACGUGUCCAGAAGAAUUCAGACAAACCCAGUCCAAGUUUCUUAAUUAUUAGCUGUUUACUCUCCUGUAGAUGCAUGGUCAAGACAGGAGACAAUAAUUAAUCAUUUGGAAAUCUCAAGCCCCGCAUGAAAUCCAAACAUUGCAAGCAUGCAUGGCGACGCUGGAAAGUUGGCACGUCUGAAAGGCAUCGAUCUUAUGUCACCGUGGUGUCAAUAUAUCCAUUUGAUUCGGCUAUGCCAGUACAAGUUGUAACCUGGAUCAUUAUUCGUUAUAUCCUUUUAUUUUUGGUCCAAUGCAAUGCUGCAAGAAAACACUAGUAUACUGGUGUUGAGGUGAUGGGAUUAUCAUGUUACUGAGCUACUUGUUGCAAGUAGUACUGUUGUUGUUUGGGUUAAGUUUAGAUCGUUCCCUCUGUUGAAUAUUCAGACUAGCUAGUUUCUGUUGUAGUUUCAUAUACAAGUUUUAUGACAGAACUACGACAAUGAUUGACACAGUUUAAUUCUCUGAGGAAGGAAACAAGCGAAGAGCAGAGCACUUGUUCCUCAUGAACAAAGCAAGCAACACUUCACUCUUGAUCAAAAGCUUGGUGCAAUGGUGUUCAUUGUCAAGUGCUUCCAGCUGCCACGGCAAUAUAUUCUUGGAAACCAUCAGUUGAGCAAACUCAAAGCCUUCCGAUUGAUGAAAAGACAAGCUAAGACGCCAUAUAACCAGUCAAAGUUUCUAAUUUUUCUACUCUCCCGGAUUACGUGAUCAAGACCGGGGGUAAUAUAAUAAUUUGAAAAUCAUCUCAAGAUCCUUCUGUAUGCAUCAGAAAGAAGUUUGUACAUAUACACUGCUGACGAAAAAUGUUGUCACCAGUUAUCCUUUUCGGUUGGUACCGCAUAACUGACCCGUAUUGCAACCUCGACGUGUAAAAAUCAAAGGCAUCCUUGGAACAUUUGUUCUUUCACAUGCGUGUAUCAUGGGUCCCAUCCUAGUACGUAACAUUAUCCGAGCAAAUGUUAAGUUUGCUAUGAUUGCUUGGUGCAAAGAGCGAAAAGACUAUAACAAAAACCUUACAAAGCAUUUGACCCGAAUAUUGAAAUAAAUAGGGCGUACGGGAUAAACUAAGCUGGAGAGCAAUGCAAAACCACAUGAACUGCUCAACUCUUUCUCGAAGACCGCGCGAGCCGGAGCCCCUCCAGCAUAUCACUCUCGGGCAUGCGCUUCAUGCAUGUCGUGAUGUCCUUGUAGAGAAGGCUGCUGACUGCUGACCGCCAUGUCCGAUCCAGACACGGAGUAGGUGAAGCCGUAAGCGCUGAGCAAGUACGCCUGCGUGUCGUCACCAUCUCGUACAAAAGUCUACCUGCAUGCAUGCAUGCAUGUACGCGAGCUCCACGGCGGCACGACGCAUGCCAUGCAAAGGCACACAAUGUGCUUGCAGUGCAGGCGUCGAGCAGCUAGCAGCUUUCUUCAUUCUUCUGUUUCGAAUCCGAAUGUGCCAUCUUAUAUUGUUAUGUGUAUGUCACGUGCAUGAAGGUUAAUUUAGAAAAAUAACCAGCAUAUACAUGGACAAAAAAUAAAAAACGAGCACACCAAAGUAUCAACAUUAGCAAGUCAUCAUGUGUAUUACGUUUUGAAAGUAGCUAGAAAAUUAACAUUUAUCUUAUCAAAGUUAAAAUUUAAAAUGAAACUGGAAACAGAUGGGAAGCUCGAGCCCCUACGUAGGAAGAGACACCAAGCAGUAUAGUGUACUUCCUCCAUCCCACAAAAAUUUUUCCUUUCAAAUUUAUCCUAAGUCAAACUAUUCUAAGGGUCUGUUUGGAUACCUUUGCUAAAUUUUAGUAGCUAAAAGUUGCUAAUUGUAGUUGCUAAACUUUAGCCAUGGUUGUUUGGAUCCAUGAGCUAAACAACAUUUAAUGAGGUGGAGAAAGACAUAUUUGCCCCCUAAUCAUUGCUACCCCUCCCUUCUCUCCCUCCUCCUAGGCUGCUUCACUCCCGCUAGAAGUCCUAGGCGCUUGGCGCCAUCUUGCUCCUGGCACCAUUUCCUUCCUCCUAGACUAAACUUUAGCAACCAUAUUUUAGCAAGGGUGUUUGGCAAAUUUGUUGCUAAAAGUUGCUAAACUUUAGCUGCUAAAGUUUAGCAAGGAUACACCCCUAAGUUUCGUUGAAACUCCAUCAACCGGUGUCGGGUUGUCGCCUUGUCGGAACCCUGUUUACUCUCCCUGGAACCUGGAUUACGUGGUCAAGCCCUGCAUGCACGGGACGGACAGAGAGGGGCUACAAAUACUAUAUGCAUGCAUGCCAAAGUACAAGUUGUAACCUGUAAUAUUCAAUGUAUUACUCAAAUCACUCCGAUGCAACGCUGCAAAUUUAAAAAAGACACCAAUAACUACAAGAAUAUACUACUUUUUCCCAACAAUUUUUUUACAAAUGGCCAACAGUUUUUAAGUACAUUUGAAUAAUUACCUACCAUAACUGUGGGAAAUGAGUUUGUGGGGAUUACAUUGUGCGUGAUUUGAUAAAACUGUUGGGAAAGAGGCAAAUUACACUAGAAAAAAACUAUCGGUCGUCAUUCAAGGAAAAACAGUAGGAAGCAUAAAAACUGUUGGUAAUGAUUUCAUAUGAGUAUUCGGUGGAAAAAUGGUACUCCCUCCGUCCCAAAUUAUAGGUCGUUUUGACUUUAUUAGAUUCAUAGACUUUGUUAUGCACUUAGAUAUACCCUAUGUCUAGAUGCAUAAUAAUAUCUAUGUAUUUAGAAAAGUCAAAACGACCUAUAAUUUGGAACGGAGGGAGUAACUAGUAAUAAGAGUACGUACGUGCAGUCAUAGAAACAUGCAGCUGAUGUCACCGGGACGUACCUACCGCGAUCUUUGUUGGAUUUUUAGCCGGCGUGCUCGGAUGCAGUAUAGUCGUAGUAGGUACGGUGGCGACUGGCCGCGCGCGUCAUCAUCGACAAACACCACCAUUACCUACCUUCCUACCUCGCUCGCUCUCAUGCACCCAGUAGCUAGCUCCUUUCCUUUAAGCUGUAAGGCCAUGGUGCUUGCAAUAGAUGAGCAGAGAUCGAACACAUACGACGACUGCAUUGUCACAACUGCCACUAAUAAAACGAGAAGGAGGGGAAAAAAAACACCUAUGACGACUGCAUGCGUUGUCACAACUUGGAUCUGCUAGUCUGCUACGAGAUCUUCUCUCAUCUGACAAGAACAUAGUUGCUGUUUUUUCUGUCUCGAUAAGCAAUGUCUGGCUACCAAAUCAACGCUGAUUAUUGCUUCUAGUUUUGAAUGAUUAUCUUUGCUACUCCCUCCGUCCCAAAUUAUUAUUCGUUUUGACUUCCUAGAUAUAUAAUAAGUCUGGAUAUAUACAUAGCAAAAGCUAUAUAUAUAGAAUAGGGCAAAACGAAUUGUAAUUUGGGACGGACCGUAGAGCUGCUUGGUAGACAUCCAACAAAGCAACUUUAAUUUGCCGGGUAUGUACGUGAAAGCACACAUCCUAGAGCAGCUUUUGAGUCACAUGCUGACGAUUUAGCAAAAAAAUAAAUCUGUUGGUCAGUACUGGAUAAGGAAUGAGUUGAAAUGGUCUUUGGCUAGAUUUGCCAAGCUGAUCAUCUAGACUAUUUUAGGUAUUUAUGUAAUUAACCACGAGGUGGUAUAGCUGGGGGGGGGGGGGGGUUGUUGGUAGGCCUUCUAGAACAAAAAUGUUGUCUCGAUCAGGGGCCAGGGGGACCACGCAUGCAACCGUGCAAGUGCCAUGCAUUAUUCCCUGUUAGUUAGGUCGGCCUUGGUAUGCUUUCGCGUUAGGUACGUGAUCGAUCGAUGUACGUGUAUGAAUGUUGGGCACUUGUUGUACGUUUGGCCUUGAAUAGAAUUUUGAAUGGUAACCUAUUGCAAAGAGUGUUUGUAUAUAGGCGCUACACUGACAAGUGCGCUAGCACACUGAUGUGAUGGUCAGGUAGAAUUCCUCCUUGCAAAUGCCAGGCACGUGUACUCCAUCGAUAUGCCAUAGCUUCGUUCGUUGUCCAGAGAUGUGCCGGCCAAAUCUUUGGAUGGUUUGACAAACCUGCAAAUAUAUUAAAUUAAAGCCUUCUAAUUGACGAAAUGCAUGCUAGCUGGCGCUGUCCGGAAAAUUAAACGGUACUAGUAUUCAGUUGAGUCGUCAAAGCUUCCAAACUAGUACUGUUCUACGUACACCCGGAUCACGUAAGUGAGAAAUAAAGUAACAUGUUCUGAAUGGAAGAUCAUCCUACUGAAUAUGUCGUCGUCGACACUUGUAUAUGCACAAUAAUCUUGACUGCAACAGACCAUGCAUGCAGAAUGCCCUCAUUCAGUCUAGGGUAGUGCAAUGCAGUAACAACUACUGAAUAAUGGUCCAUGCUGUUUUGUUUGCUUGUACAGUGUGGCUCCUUGCUGGUCUCUGCAGCAGGCCGGGUUUGACGUACGGCUGCCACUCACAUUUGUGUGGUAACUGUACCGAUGCAUGGAUAGGAGUACGUUUUCAAUGUAGUUUUAGGAAAGGAACAACGAUAUGUCGACAUGCCAACUCCGGCUGCCAAUGUUUCUCGGCUUUUCGUCCCUACUACAACGGCUGCUCCAAUUCGGCAAGUCUCUGCUCUCUUUCCUUUUCUGCAUAUACAAAUGCCUUUGGAAAGGUAAAGGAGAAGGGUAGGUAAAGGGCUACCAUGCAACCGAACACCCUGCUGGUAAACAAACCCUAAAAAUAAAGUUGCUGAACAAUAUACUAUCUGGGAGUGUGAAUUCCAAUGCCAUGGAAUCUUCUCCUGUCUGCGACAGAUACAUGACCAUAUGCUGAGAAAAGUAGAAGCGAGUAGUAAACAACAAGGGACUUCGACAACAACAAAAAAAAAAUUGAAUGUUUAAAGUGAAGGGUAGUUAGUUGACCAACCAAAGAAUUUCAAUUCUUAAUUCGCCCUCUUCUCCUUUAUUUCUGGUUUCAUGCAUGCCUGUUUCAUUUCCUUCUAACGAUAUAAACUAAAGGAAGCGAUUGAGACAUGCUUGAGAUAGCUUCUAGAAUCUUUGAAAAAGGAGUCAUAUAUAUAGUGAUGACACAAAAAUUAAUGUGGUCUCGGUUAAAACUAGGGGAAAAGGAAGCACUUUAGAGAUCAAAUGCAUAUUGGACAUUGCCAAACUCGUGGGCACAUCAGCACAAGCUCCAUAGUCCAGAUAUUUAAUGUUGUGUAGGGAACCACUGCAUCCUUUUUGUUGUUUUAUUAUUACUACGGCAAAAUUCUUCCUUUUGUUUAAUUUGUGCCUAUUAUACAGCAAAAUUAAGACUCCAAAUCUUAAAAGAUUCACUGUGGUAACCCAAACAGAAAUGGUUGGCCUAACAUGUCGCAACUUUGUUGUAUAAAAAAGUAUAAAGUGAAAUUGUUAGAAGAGAAACAAAAUAAUGGAGAAAAUAAUGUUCUACUGUGUUAGAUAAUCAAAACAUGCUAGCAGUAUGCUAGCGCUAACUGACAGCGUGAACCCAAAACAUAUACGAUAAAAUGGAGGUAUUAAUUAAAUAAUUAAAAGAAAUAAAAAUAAUCACAAAAGAGCUUGGACAGCAGUAGGACAAAGACAGGCACCUACCUACCACACUCAUCCCUGCUAGGGCUUGGCAACUACUCGCUUCUCUCUCUCUCUGUCCUCAUACCUACCCGGUCAAAUGUCUUGAGUAAUCCCGGUCAGUGUGCCUCUCUCUGUCUCAUCAUAUAAUCACACGCUCUCUUCUGUAGCUCUCCUCUCUCCACAUCCCUGCACCAAGAACCAAAUACCACUCACCACAGACAGUCACCACUGCGGCGUUGUUGGUGUAGCUACCUGGUCUGUUUAUCUUGAUUCUUGAGAGAGAACUAGAGAAGCAUCAGGCAUGGGGAGGUCGCCGUGCUGCGAGAAGGCGCACACGAACAAGGGCGCCUGGACCAAGGAGGAGGACCAGCGCCUCGUCGCCUACAUCAAGGCCCACGGCGAAGGUUGCUGGAGGUCGCUCCCAAAGGCGGCGGGGCUGCUGCGCUGCGGCAAGAGCUGCCGGUUGCGGUGGAUCAACUACCUGCGCCCCGACCUCAAGCGCGGCAACUUCACCGAGGAAGAAGACGACCUCAUCAUCAAGCUCCACCAGAUCCUCGGAAACAAGUACGUACGUUAUAAAUUACAAAGAUUAGAGCUUUCUGUUUUUAUUGGGUCUUUCUUAUUGAUUCUUACGGUGUUGAAACAAAUGAAACAGGUGGUCUCUGAUCGCCGGGCGGCUGCCGGGUCGGACGGACAACGAGAUCAAGAACUACUGGAACACGCACAUCAAGCGCAAGCUCCUCGCACGCGGCAUCGACCCGCAGACGCACCAGCCGCUCAGUGGCGCCGCCGCCAACGCGCCAAGCAGCCGUCUCCAGGAUCAACUGGCGGCGGCGCGCUCCAGCUGCUCGCCGCAGACGAGCGGAGCGGGCCACAGCAGCGAUGAAGACAGCGCGUCCGUGCCGUACCUCGUCGGCAUCGAUCUCAACCUGUCCUUAAGCCCUCCCAGCCAACCGCCCUCGCCGGUCGCCGCCGUUGCCAACUAGCACCUAGGCAUAGUAGGCAAGAAGCGGCGCGAUAAGAUGAGAGCCUGAGGCACUCCUAGUCAGUCUCCUAGACGGAGAGGAUUUGCCUGUUCUUGAGUCUCCAGGUUUCAACAAGCUAGAGGUGCACCUGCGGCGGCCAAGAAUCGAGAGAGAGAGAGAGAGAGAGAGAGAGAGAGAGAGAGAGAGAGAAGAUGGCUUAUAAUUUGAACACGAGGAAUCCUGUCUACUGUUCUCUUAAUUUUUGUAAAAAAUAUUUGUGACAUGACGGCUCAUCUUUGUGUAAACAUCUUCACCAAAAUCUAUGCUUCUUCUUUCUUCCCUUUUGAUGCAUGCUAGCUGCUCAGUUGUGCAGCAGUACUGUAUCUGCCUUUGGCGUGGUUGAUUGCGUUCUUGGCCUCUUACAUCCCUUUUCCUUCUUUUCGGCUAGUGUGACGUUCUUUUGUUCAUAUAUACAUCGAUUCCGGACACUUCUGAUGCAGCCUCUUCUUGGUUCAUGAAACUGGCAAAAUGCUCAUCUUAAUCUUACAAUUACUAAUUAAAAACUUUAUAAUAAUUCUAAUAAGACAUGCUAUAAAAAAGAUAGAUUUAAAAAA